rnacentral:rRNA from 1 species
AACGCGAAGAACCUUACCAGGUCUUGACAUCCCCCUGAAUCUGCGUAGAGAUAGCAGCGGCCUUCGGGACAGGGGAGACAGGUGGUGCAUGGUUGUCGUCAGCUCGUGUCGUUAGAUGUUGGGUUAAGUCCCGCAACGAGCGCAACCCUUGAACUUUAGUUGCCAGCACUUCGGGUGGGCACUCUAAAUUGACUGCCGGUGACAAACCGGAGGAAGGCGGGGAUGACGUCAAAUCAUCAUGCCCCCUUAUGACCUGGGCUACGACACGUACUACAAUGGCCGGUACAACGGGCCGCGAAGCCGCGAGGUGGAGCCAAGUCCUAAAAAGCCGGUCUCAGUUCGGAUUGCAGGCUGCAACUCGCCUGCAUGAAGUCGGAAUUGCUAGUAAUCGCGGAUCAGCAUGCCGCGGUGAAUACGUUCCCGGGCCUUGUACACACCGCUACAGUC